rnacentral:rRNA from 1 species
CCUACGGGAGGCAGCAGUGGGGAAUAUUGGUCAAUGGACGAGAGUCUGAACCAGCCAAGUAGCGUGAAGGAUGACUGCCCUAUGGGUUGUAAACUUCUUUUAUAUGGGAAUAAAAUGUUCCACGUGUGGGAUUUUGUAUGUACCAUAUGAAUAAGGAUCGGCUAACUCCGUGCCAGCAGCCGCGGUAAUACGGAGGAUCCGAGCGUUAUCCGGAUUUAUUGGGUUUAAGGGGAGCGUAGGUGGAUUGUUAAGUCAGUUGUGAAAGUUUGCGGCUCAACCGUAAAAUUGCAGUUGAAACUGGCAGUCUUGAGUACAGUAGAGGUGAGCGGAAUUCGUGGUGUAGCGGUGAAAUGCUUAGAUAUCACGAAGAACUCCGAUGGCGAAGGCAGUUCACUGGACUGCAACUGACACUGAGGCUCGAAAGUGUGGGUAUCAAACAGGAUUAGAUACCCCUGUAGUA